GAUGAACGCUGGCGGCGUGCCUAAUACAUGCAAGUCGAGCGAACGGACGAGAAGCUUGCUUUUCUGAUGUUAGCGGCGGACGGGUGAGUAACACGUGGAUAACCUACCUAUAAGACUGGGAUAACUUCGGGAAACCGGAGCUAAUACCGGAUAAUAUUUUGAACCGCAUGGUUCAUAAGUGAAAGACGGUCUUGCUGUCACUUAUAGAUGGAUCCGCGCUGCAUUAGCUAGUUGGUAAGGUAACGGCUUACCAAGGCAACGAUGCAUAGCCGACCUGAGAGGGUGAUCGGCCACACUGGAACUGAGACACGGUCCAGACUCCUACGGGAGGCAGCAGUAGGGAAUCUUCCGCAAUGGGCGAAAGCCUGACGGAGCAACGCCGCGUGAGUGAUGAAGGUCUUCGGAUCGUAAAACUCUGUUAUUAGGGAAGAACAUAUGUGUAAGUAACUGUGCACAUCUUGACGGUACCUAAUCAGAAAGCCAUGGCUAACUACGUG
rnacentral:rRNA from 1 species